rnacentral:lncRNA from 1 species
AGCUUGCUGAGAAGAGAAAUCUCUCAGAUCUCAUCAUGAAUGUUGGUGCCGGCGGCGGUGGUGGUGCCGUAGCCGUAGCUGCCCCCACUGGUGGUGCCGCCGCUGGUGGUGCUGCAGCUGCUCCUGCUGCCGAGGAAAAGAAGGUAAACGAAAUUAGUGGUCCUUUUUGGAAUCUGUUUAACCCUGAGUUGCGUACUUAUUAUUGUUUGUUGAAUGUGUGCAGGAGGAGCCAAAGGAAGAAAGUGAUGAUGAUAUGGGAUUCAGUUUGUUCGAUUAGAAGCUGUUUUCAGUAUGAUCUUGUCUGUUUCCAAAAAAAUAGUUGGCUAAGUUUUAGUAUGUGAUGUUUGAGAUAUUCAGAGAAGUGUAAGAGUACAUGUAAUUUUGAGGUUAAUGACUCCUGUUUUGCUAGUUUGUGCCUUAUUUUUAGCCAUUUUUUGUCGUUUUGAAAUCAAAUGUUUGUUCUUCUUUUGCUUGUUUUUAUUCUCUGUUUCUUUUUAUUGUUUGUGCAUUUAAAU